ACCAAACAAAAAACCCCCACAAAUAAGUGAUUUUCCCUCAGGUGUAGUCCAAAAUACGAAUUAUUGAUUGGCGGUACUGGGGCUCUGCUCUACAGAGGCAUUCGGGGAUUGAAGUAGCUUCCAUUCUGUGGCUCCACCAUCUCCUUGUGUCUUAGUCUUUUCCUGCAGCUGGCAGUUGGGAAAAGAGAAGUGAAGGAGGGGUGCCUGCUUCCCAAACAUCUCUGCCUGGAGGGGAGGUGCAUGUCACUUUCAUUCCUAUUCCACUGGUUCCAUCUAGAUGGAAGGGGAACUGGAAUUUGUGGUCCUGGCUGAACAACGAUGGUCCGACAGCUCCAUGCUGUGGAACGGGAGCGUGCAUCUUGGUGGGCAGCUAGCUAACUUGCCACAGCCACCAAGCUGCCCCAAACUAUAGGUAUUAGAGUUAUAGCCUGAAAAUGUAGCAAAGAGUUAUUGUCAAAGGCGACUGUGGGGCUGCUGAAGCGUUUUAGGCAGGACAGUUACACAUCUGGUCAAUCUGUGCUCCAGUGACACGAAGGGGAUUGUGGCAGUGGAAUGGAAAGGAAGGAGGAGCCUUCUGAAAACCUCAGUCAGUGAGGUCCAUGUUGUCCCCCAGUUUUGAAUGGUACAAUACCUUGGCAUGCCUCACGUUUAUAUUCCUACCACAUACCAAGGGUCCACCAUGUGCCUUUUUUGAAAUAGUAUCUAUUGAUAGCUUAGCAAUGUUAUGAGGUAGGUGUUAUUACCUGCAAUUUAAAAAACAAGUAAAUUGAAGUUUAUGGAAGAGAAGUGACUUGUCCAAGGUGUGUUGGCCCUUCAGUGGUUGUCACUGAAGCUGUUGGUCUGUAUUUGGAAAAUUUGGGGGACUCUACAGUGCCAAGUAUGCAUUUACCCUGUGACGUGUUGUCUUCUUGCUUAGGGAACAAAGGGGUCUGAGUAUCCAGUGGUGGUGGGGCCUGGCUGGCAGGUGGACUAGAUAGCCCUUUGUACCUGCACCUUCCCCAGGGACAAAGCUUGAAGCACUGCUCUCCCUGCCCCUGCCCAUCCCGUUGAGUCACUUCCAAGUUCCUAACAAAGAUACUCUGUGAGUCCUCUCACCGGCUCUCAGGAAUCUGUUCUCUGGCUCCUGGACCUGGUAGGGAGGGGGACCAUAGCCAUACUCCCCAGGCUAGAGGAGCCAGUUCUGCUGACUGGGCAGAUGGGGCCCACGCACCGGGACCUGGGGAGAUUGAGAGGAGAAAGUGGCUGAGCGCAGCUCUGCGAGGCCUAGUGAUUUAUGAGGAGCAGCUUCCGCGGGCCAUCUGGACCAGGAACUUCAGGAAGCACAUCCUGUGUGGAGGCACAGGCAGCGUGGGAGCCCUGCCAGGGAGGAGGGAGGAGAUGGGGGAGCAGGGAUGGGGCAGAGCCAACAAGGAAAGAGCCCCGGCAGUGAAACGAGACAGAUUCGGGUUCUUCCACUUCCAGAAACUUUGGGCAAGACCCUAACAGCUCGGGGCCUCACUCUCAUCAACUUUAAAAUGGAAGGAUAAUCAUACCUGCUGUGCUGUUGAGAAGUUUAGAUGGACUGUGGCUUCUACAAGUACCCAACCCAUUGGAGGAAAGCUGAUAUUACUGAACAUUGACCAUGAGCUACGCAUGCAGUUGAGGGUUGGCAACAUAAAGAUUUCCGGUUUGCAGUCGAGUGGGGGAGGCAGACUAUUUUGUAUCGUGUGGGACAUUUACUACAAACUCUGGGAGCACAGAAGUAAGAACAAGUAACUGGAGGUGAAGGAGAAGUUUGGGGCCUUAAAGGAGAAAUAGAAGCUUAGUGACCUACGGAGGGGUAGCAAAGGGAACAGUUUGAGCACAGAUACACCACACUAAGGUCAAAUGUUGGUGCAUUCAUUUGCAACUCCAGCCCUGAGCAAUCUACUGGGUUCCAAACCCAUGUAUCCAACUGCCUACUUAUAUCGCCAUUUGAAUGUCUAAUGGACACUCAAACUUAGAACGACUGAAACAGAGCUACUGGUCCACCUGCCCUCCCCACCUACCCCCACAUCAGACUUCUUCCUCCUAGGUCAUCCCUAUCUUGGCCUGUCUACUCAGUCACAUAAGCCAAAAACCUAGAAGACAUUUAUCUCUGCUUUCUCUAUUUCCUUCACUACGUUGCAAGGUACCUUGUUGCACCACUGCAUAUAUAUGGUUCCUCCCGGAAUUAUGCGAUGUGGUCUUGACCUCAUCUCCCCAAAUUUAUCCAUCAGAAAGUUCUGUCAGUUCUGAUCUCCCAAGUACCUCCAGAAUCCGUGUCAUUCUCUUCAUCUCCACCACUGCCAUCACAAUCUUACCCAGGAAACUGCAACACAAUUCUGUGUUUGUUUCCACAUCUGUCUUUCAAAAUCUAAUCUCUUCAUGGCUACCAGAGAGGUCUUUACAAAACUGAAAUAAAAUCAAACACUCCCCUGCUACAAGCCUUUAUCUGACAGCCGUUUUCAAGGUAAUUCUGUGUAAUAAUUCACCCUAAAACUCAGUGCUACACAGUAAUAGACAUUUUUUCUUGCUCAUGUGUCCAAGGGUUGGCUGAGGCUCUGCUGAUCUGGGCUGAGUUUGGCUGCAGACUGUAGGUUGGGCCCAGGGUUGCUCUCUAUGUCUGUCUUUCUGUUUGGUCCAGUGGCUACUCAAGGCAUAUUCUCCUCCUGGAGAAAAACAGGGACACUAGAGGGCAAGUUUGCCUGACAAGAACAUUUCAAGCUUCAUUCCCAACACAUCCAACACCAUCUGAUUGCUCAAAGCCAAUCAUGGGGCCAAGUCCAAGGGUCAAGGAGAAAGGAAGUACACUCCACCAUAACUCCAUAAGGAAGGUGUGGAUAUAUAAUUAGUUGUGGUGAGAUAAAGAAUUAGGACCAAUAAUUCAAUCUUCAACAAAGGCUUUUAGUGGCUUUCCAUUAAACUUAGAAUAAGGUCUAAACUUCAACCCCCUCAGGCUCUAGCCCCAGGCUAGCCCCUCUAAACUUCAACUUCUGCCACUUUUUCCCUCACCCAUUUCUAGCCAUGCUGCCUUUGUGGCUGUUCCUCGAACUUUCCAAACUCUUUUUCUACCUCAGGACCUUUACAUUUGCCAUUCUCUCUCUGUGUGGAUCACACUGCUCCUAGAGCUUCACAUGACUGGCUCCUUCCCGCCACCAGGUCUGAGAUGCAAUGCUACCUAUACCUGGGGGUGUGUUAGAGAUGCAGGUGCCUGGGCUCCACCCCCAGAGAUUCUGAAAUGGCAGGUGUAGGGGUGUAUCUCAGGGGUCUGUUGCUAACAAGAUACCCACUGUUGAUGCCAGUGCCGGUGUUCCAUGGAACAUUCUGAGAAAGGCUGCUGUGAGAGGGAAGCAUGCCCCAGGGGUACUGGGGAGGAUGUGCAGGGCCUGAGUCUGUUGGGAUUCAAGGGAGUCUUGCAGAGGCGUAGCAGCUGAGCCGAGGCUUGAGGGAUGUAGAGGAGGUGGUCAGGCCGACAAGACUAUGUUUUAGGGUCAUCCCACAACUCUGUGUGCGUCUUGGGUGUGAGCUUCCAAGUAACUUUUCCUGAACCCCUCACCCCAUCCAGCCCAGGCCCUGCUGGAACAGCCUCCCAUUGGGAACUAGAACUGAUGACAUUAUAUACGACCACCAUCCGAGCUUCUUGAGACAACCAAUCCCACAGGAAGUCUUAGAAAGCUUUUUUUCCCUCUAAAUGAUCUUUUUUAGUGUCUGUCACCCAGAGUUGUAGAGAUUUUAUAUCAUCUAUGAAAUCCUAUUAAGAUUUUAUUUCCUUAUUUUCCUUUUAUGAUGACUGGGAUUUCCUUCCUGAGAGAAGGCUUCAGGAAGUGGCCGUGCCUUGGCAGGAGCCAGGCCCUGGGGAGGGUGUGUUGCUGAUGCAGCCACAGCCUCCGUGGCAGAGUUGCUGACAGGCAUUCAGAGCUGGCAGCAUCCUUCAAGGUCCUGUGGCCCAUUUUCCCCCUGAAGGUAUCCUCUCUAGAGCUUUGAGCAUCCCAUGACCCAAGAGAGGCAGUGAUGGAGCUUUGGAGUCAGAUCCAGUGACGGGCAACCUGCUACUUUGAAAAGUGGAGUGUUGAGAUCCGGUUGGAUCCAGAUGCCAUCAGUGACAGUCUCCUUUUAGAGACAUUCAAUCAGUCGUGGAUCCACGUUGGAGCACUAGCACCAACUCACAGAAGGACAUCUUGAAAGCACCUGUUACAUGGCUGCCUGCUUCAUUCCAGACACAAGAUGCAGAACCCAAAUUUAUCCAGGUUACCAGGUUGGAGUUAAACCUGAGACCACGUUAAUUAACCUCCAUCUGUUUUACUCGCUCUGGCCCUGCCUAGAUGGGCCUCUGAACAGUCCUCCCAGUCUUGUUGGGGAGUCCCUUGUGUGCUUAGGAGUGUCUCCUUCCCCAGAUAAUGGAGUUGGCCAAGUUCUUUCUCUCCAGCUCCUCCUUUCCUGCUGACAUUCGCGGUCCAUGCACCGUGGAGAAGGACCUCACUACUCUGCCUGCUGCUGGGAUGGCCCACAAGAAUGCAAUUCCCAUGUUCAGUGUGCAUUAGCCCAGACAUUGGUACCAGUCCUUGGUAUACCGUUGAUUAAACUGCAUUUAAUCUGGUGCA